GAGACGGUGACACGCCCGAGAUUAUACGUGCGAGAGUGCCGGACAAUGUUUUUGCAAAGUAUGAUGCAGAAGAUGUAGAGUUCCUGUUGAGCGAUUGGUGCACUGAGCAAAAAAGGGCGACCUCUGAACGGAUGAAGAGGCUGCGGGAGCAGAAUGACCUUCCCCAUUACAUGUACAUCUGGCACGCCCCCCACUCGCGCCACGUCGUUCGUGAAGACCCACACAAGGAAGGACGGCACUUACUUGAAUGAACGUACACAGG